UGGGUGACUAGUGACAGAGUGAGGGAAUGGGUGACUAGUGGCAGAGUGAGGGAGGGAAGAGAUGACUAGUGGCAAAGUGAGGGAGGGAAGGUGACUAGUGACAGAGUGAGGGGAUGACUGGUGACAGAGUGAGGGGGGUGACUGUCACUAGUCACCCCAUCCCUCUCUCUGUCACUAGUCACUCCCUCCCUAACUCUGUCACUGUGUCACCCGCUCCCUCACUCUGUCACUGUGUCACCCCAUCCCUCUCUCUGUCACUAGUCACCCCA